CCCUUAGAUGUUCUGGGCUGCACGCGCGCUACACUGAAGCUAUCAACACGUUUUCCCUCCCUGAGAAGGGCGGGUAACCUUUUGAAUCAGCUUCGUGGUAGGGAUCGGGGCUUGCAAUUGUUCCCCGUGAACCAGGAAUUCCUAGUAGACGCGAGUCAUAAGCUCGCAUCGAUUAAGUCCCUGCCCUUUGUACACACCGCCCGUCGCUACUACCGAUUGAACGUUUUAGUGAGGUAUUUGGACUGGGCCUUGGGAGGUUUCGGCCUCCCUUGUUGCUCGGAAAGACUCCCAAACUUGAGCGUUUAGAGGAAGUAAAAGUCGUAACA
rnacentral:rRNA from 1 species